GGCUCAGAACGAACGCGGGCGGCGUGCCUAACACAUGCAAGUCGAACGUGAAAGCCCUUCGGGGUGAGUAAAGUGGCGCACGGGUGAGUAACACGUAGGUGACCUGCCUUUCAGAGCAGAAUAACCAGAAGAAAUUUUGGCUAAUACUGCAUACGAAGUACAAAUUUUAAAGUAGUACUUGAAAGAAUGCCUCUGUAUAUGCAUUCACUGUUAGAUGGGCCUGCGGUACAUUAGCUAGUUGGUGGGGUAACUGCCUACCAAGGCAACGAUGUAUAUCCGGUCUGAGAGGAUGAUCGGACACACUGGAACUGAGAUACGGUCCAGACUCCUACGGGAGGCAGCAGUGGGGAAUAUUGCGCAAUGGGGGAAACCCUGACGCAGCAACGCCGCGUGAGUGAGGAAGGACUUCGGUCUGUAAAGCUCUGUUAAUGUGGAAAAAUGGUUAGUGGUCUAAUAGGCCAUUAAUUUGAUGGUACACAUAGAGGAAGCACCGGCUAACUUCGUGCCAGCAGCCGCGGUAAUACGAAGGGUGCAAGCGUUGUUCGGAUUUAUUGGGCGUAAAGCGCGCGUAGGCGGACCUUUAAGUCAGAUGUGAAAUCUCGGGGCUCAACCUCGAAACUGCGUCUGAAACUGGGGGUCUAGAAUCUUGGAGGGGGAAGGGGAAUUUCUCAUGUAGGGGUAAAAUCCGUAGAUAUGAGAAGGAACACCAGAGGCGAAGGCGCCUUCCUGGACAAGUAUUGACGCUGAGGCGCGAAAGCGUGGGGAUCAAACAGGAUUAGAUACCCUGGUAGUCCACGCUGUAAACGAUGAAUACUAGAUAUUGGGGGAUUUGACCCCUUCAGUGUCGAAGCUAACGCGUUAAGUAUUCCGCCUGGGAAGUACGGUCGCAAGACUAAAACUCAAAG
rnacentral:rRNA from 1 species